rnacentral:rRNA from 1 species
AGAGUUUGAUCAUGGCUCAGGACGAACGCUGGCGGCGUGCCUAACACAUGCAAGUCGAACGGGACCGGGGGCAACUCCGGUUCAGUGGCAGAUGGGUGCGUAACACGUGAGCAACUUGUCCGUCGGCGGGGGGAUAGCCGGCCCAACGGCCGGGUAAUACCGCUUACGUUCGCUCGGGGGCAUCCCUGAGCGAGGAAAGCAGCCGCAAGGUUGCGCCGGCGGAGGGGCUCGCGGCCUAUCAGCUUGUUGGCGGGGUAAUGGCCCACCAAGGCGACGACGGGUAGCUGGUCUGAGAGGAUGGCCAGCCACAUUGGGACUGAGACACGGCCCAGACUCCUACGGGAGGCAGCAGUGGGGAAUAUUGCGCAAUGGCCGCAAGGCUGACGCAGCGACGCCGCGUGUGGGAUGACGGCCUUCGGGUUGUAAACCACUGUCGGGGGGGACGAAUACAGGGCUUCGAAUAGGAGACCCUGGGUGACGGUACCUCCAAAGGAAGCACCGGCUAACUCCGUGCCAGCAGCCGCGGUAAUACGGAGGGUGCGAGCGUUGUCCGGAAUCACUGGGCGUAAAGGGCGCGUAGGUGGCUCGUUAAGUUGCCGGUGAAAUCCCGGGGCUCAACUCCGGGGCUGCCGGUAAGACUGGCGGGCUCGAGCACGGUAGAGGCAGAUGGAAUUCCCGGUGUAGCGGUGGAAUGCGUAGAGAUCGGGAAGAACACCAGUGGCGAAGGCGUUCUGCUGGGCCGUUGCUGACACUGAGGCGCGACAGCGUGGGGAGCAAACAGGAUUAGAUACCCUAGUAGUCC